UCUUUUAUCACACAAAUAAUGUCUUUUUAAUAGUGAUUUUUUUCUAAUUGAUAUAUUAUGUACUUUUCAUUCACUAAUUAUUAAUUGCUUACAUUUGAAGUGUUUUAUGAAUUAAUAUUUACUUGCAUAGAUGAAGAUGACUAGUCAUAGGCAUUUUUACUAACCAAUACUCAUUAAGCAUAGCAUGGACUCAUGUGAUGUCAAGGAGCUAUUUUAUUUGGUAAAAGGAAAAAGCCCAAGAAUGAAUGCAAGAACUGAAACAGUGGAGACACCUAGCAUGACUUGUCUAAGAUCUAAAUCAUUUUGUUGUCUUCCCAGUGUACUUAUCCUGAUCAUUGUCAUCAGCAUUGAUUUGGUCAUUUUAGCACAGAUUUCUCAAAAUGGGUAACUCCAUAACAGUUGGAAGCUUAUGAAUUCAUAUAAUUUGUAAGAGCACAAUUUGGGAGUACCUAUUUUAAAAUUCUAAUAACCUGGUAAUUUCAUCCACGUCUAGAGUAUUUUAUGUAAAAUAUUUCCACAAUUAGGAGAAAUAUGUGCAUGGGGAUUUUCUAUGUAGCAGUGUUUUAAUAGAAUAGAAAAUUGGGACAAACCAAAUUUCCAUCACAAAGGAAAUAGUAAUACACUGAAUAGUAAUACAGCAAAUAUUAUGCAGGCUUUAAACAUCAAAAAGGAGCUCAACUUCUGACUUCCGAUGACGGUGUCGAAGUAGGUCACAGCUGGUUUACAUUUGAUUUUCAUGUGGGAACUCUGGAAGUCUGCCUUAGUGAUUUUACAUGUAGCUAAAUUUAGCGAAUGAAAAGCUAUUCGAAGUAUGGCAAAAUGGAACUUUAAAACAGUAUCUUGUCAACAACCAAGAGGACCUGUUUCACAUAAAGCCCACGCAUUCAUCUGCCUGUCCAUCAUUCUGUCUGUCCACACGGGCAUCAUUCGUUAGUGGAACUGAGUGCCCACUGUCGAGCUGACAAGCCCAUAACCUCCCUGUUUCUAGUCACACAUUAAUUCUUCGACAAAUCCCUUUUGAUAGAUUGUGAUUAAGCUUAGCUGCUAUUUCCAAUUGCUUCCCCAAACGUACUUCUCACUGUUCUCCCAUCACACCCUUCAGCCCAUCCAUGCAGGUUUCCUUUGCUUUUCUCACCUUACACCAAACUCCCUAUUUUUACUCCCACUUUUACCUCCUCUCCAAGACAAAACAAACAAAACUAGCAUUUUAAAACUUAGUUGUAAUCUUUCUUCCUUCAUGAAAAUUUCUCCAACAGCCACUCCCAUGGCCCUGUGUGUUCCGGAUUUUUUUAAAUAUUGGCUAUAAGGUUGAGCAAGUCAGGAUAUGCUUUUUUGGGGUGCACACUGUUUUGUUUGUAUUGAUUCUUCCUAUUGGAGGCGUGGUCAUUGCCUUCUCCUCUGGGGAGUUUAUGCCAGUGCUCUUCAAUAAGAUUGGCAGGCAAUUUUUCUUUUUGUACUUAAUUUUUUGUAUGGUAUUGAGAUAAUAUUCUCAUCAGAUUAAUUGAAAGUAGCCCCCUUCAUUAAUUUUAUGGAAAUAUUUUAAUUGGAUUAGAAUGACAACUCCACUGUAAUUUUGGAUUUAGCCAAUAAUACUAUUAGGGCUCUGUGUGUGAGAGAGAAAAAGAGAGAAAGGGAAAGAAAGAGACAAAGACCGAUACUUCUUAACUACUGAUUAAAUUUACAUAGAAGCUACUGAACUAUUCAGGAUUUUUAUUUCUUCAUGAGUUCAUUUUAGAAAAUUAUACUUUCUAGGAUUUUGUCUAUUUUGUACACAUUUUAAAAUGUCUUGGCAUGAUAUCCAUAUUCAUAUAUGUUUACAUACAUAAUGAAUACAUAUGUAGAUUUGAAUACAUAUAUUUAUUCAUAAUAUCCACUGAUUGUUUUGUAAUCUCUGCUACUUCUGUGGUUAUGUCUUCCUAUGAAUUUCUGAUAUGAAUUUUGAUUAUUUCCCUUUUUUCUUGAUAAAUCUCACUAAUGACUUUUGUAUUAGACUUUUCUGGAAAACAACUGUUGGCUUUGUUACUUCUCCCUAGUAUUGUCCUUAUUUUCUAUUUCAUCAAUUUCUCUUCUCAUCUGUUAUCCUUCCAUUACAUUAUCUGCAUUUAUUCUGAUGCUACUUUUUUCUAACUUGAGUUGUAUGCUUAAUUAACUUUCAGCCUUUCUGAGUUUCCAGCGUAAACAACUAAGCUUAUAGAUUGCUCUCACAUAAUGCUCUUUGCUGCAUCUCACAAUUUUCAGUUUGCACACAUUUUAUUAUUUAUUCAUAAGAAUUAUCUAAUUGCAUUAUGAUUUUUAUUGACAUUCAAGUUUAGAAGUAUGCUCUACAUUUUCUAAUGUUGCAACCAAUGGUCUUGUGCACCAGUCUUUUCAAUUUUUGCCAGUCUCCUUCAGGAUGGAUUUUAAGAUGUUGGAUUGUAGGUCAAAGUGUUACUGCUUUGCAACUUUGCUAAAUGUUGCCAAAUUCCUCUCCACAAGUGCCUAAUGGGGCUUUCUUAGCAACAAUGUGUGUACAGCCACACUAACAUAGUUACAUGUGAAACUUCUAAAAUUUUGUCUCUAAAGUGGUAUUGAGGUGAUUUUUAAAAUUUUUUCAAUGAGAUUAAAAGCCAUUUCUGUUUUUUCCUUUAUAUUGUUUGUUCACGUCUCUAACAUGCUUACAUGUGAUUGUUGGUAGUCUUCUUCCCUAUAUUUAGAGACUUGUUACAUUUUAAGUAUAUUAAAACCUUUGUGAUAUGCCUGGCCGUGUUUUUUUUUCCGGUUUACCAUGUAUCUUUUGCACUUUUUUAAAUUGAACUUCAUGUCACACUGAGGUUUUCUAUUUUUAUGUAAUAAAACAUUAUAAUUUCAUUGUGUUCUCUGGGGUGGUUCUACCACUUUCAAGGCUGCUGUUGACUUUCUACAGUAAUAUGUGUGGCAUUGAUGUAGAGCAGCCAAUGUCUCCCAUGUUUUGUAAUAAUUGAUCUUUCUUUGUUUCAGAUAACCCUGAGAAAUAUAUUGACUGACUGUCUCCACAGGGCUUAUGAUUUCUUCUCGGGUUUGAAACAUGCCCCCAGAUGAGCAAGACGGGGCUGCCACAUUGACGGAGCAGCUGCGGGACACACCCAAGAAACCUCCUGGAGAACACAGGGGACAUUCACGGCUGGAGGCUUCAUCUAUGGCCGGGGGCUUCAUCCAUGAGCUGGGGACUUCAUCCAUGGGCUGGGGACUUCAUCCAUGACUGGGGACCUCAUCCACGUCUGGAGACUUCAUCCGCGACUGGGGGCUUCAUCCAUGGGCUGGGGGAUUCAUCCACGGGCUGGGGGCUUCAUCCAUCACUGGGGGCUUCAUCCACGGGCUGGGGGCUUCAUCCAUGACUGGGGGCUUCAUCCACGGGCUGGGGGCUUCAUCCAUGGGCUGGGGGCUUCAUCCAUGACUGGGGGCUUCAUCCACGGGCUGGGGGCUUCAUCCAUGACUGGGGACUUCAUCCACGACUGGAGACUUCAUCCAUAGGCUGGGGGCUUCAUCUACAGCUGGAGACUUCAUCCACAGCAGGGGCUUCAUCCUUGGUUGGUUUGCCUGAUCUGUAUCCUAACGUUGUCCGGUCUGCAGAUGGCGGCGGCUGCUGAGGGAGCUCCUUCCCCUCCUCCCGCCUACCCUGCUAGGGCUAGGCCACAGAUACACAGGGCGAGUGGGAGUGUCUAGGGGAGAAGAUUUUAUUUCAC
rnacentral:lncRNA from 1 species